AACAAGUGAAACAGCAGAGCAAGGAGGAUAUCUCAAGGGACCGGUGAUGUUCAGGAUAACAGACAAUUUGGUUUUCACUCCACUAGUUUCUAUCUGGAGUCUCUCCUUUCUUAACAGCAUAAAGGUUCCCUUAGAUGACUUGGAUUUCCAUACAGUCAACGUGGGCAUCGAGCAGGCUUUGAGACUAUUGAAGGCUUCUCUCUGCUCCCAAUCUGUACUGACUAAUGCCUGGUCAACUUUGGCCUAAAGAGUCCCAAGCAA